rnacentral:sRNA from 1 species
UUUUUUUUUUUUGGGAUUACUGCAUGCUAAGCCUUACCUCUUCGAAUGCUCACAACAGCUCCAUGGAAGAGGCGAUACAAAUCUCUUCUAUUCACGUGUGUAAGACUGGUCUUUAGGAAUUUGUGUUCCAGGAAUAGGGAAGACAGAACUGCAAUUUAUAGCCAGGCACAUGGUAUGAAGCCGAGGAAUGCUCUACUGGGCAAUCACUAAGAUCGUGUGCACUUUCUGAAAUGCUUUGUAUAUAUGAGUGUCCGAGAGUCAACUGGUUAGGGUCAUCUACGGGCUUUUCCAUUUCAUAUGGUACUACCAUGAGAAGGCUGUCAAUACCAGUGUUAGGGCACACACCGUAUUUAUUAAUGUGCGAGGAAGAGUCUAUCUGUGCUAAGAGGCUUCGAGAGUCCCCGUUGAUCACCCUGCCCCCUGACUUCCUAAGAACAGCCACCUGCUGUGUCACAGGAAGCUCCAGAUGAUGGUGUCUUGCCAUCUGGUGACUGAUAUGGUUAUUUUGGGUCCCACCCUUUGCUGGCUGUUUGACUUGAGGCAAGGGACUUAGUCAUCAGGGAACCUACUUCUCUCAUCUGUGAAAUAAGGAUAAUGAGACCGACUCCUGCCUUCCUCACAGGGAGGAGGAAGCCUCCUGAGAGAGAGAGUCCUUUGAUGUGCUUGAGAGCACUCUUAACUGCACUGGCCAGGUACUCCAGUUGCUGGGUGAAAGUUUUAUGGCCAAAGAUUCCCAUAGCCCAUAAUCUCCGCACUCCCAGAAGGCCAGUGAUAGAUUUGACUGUCGCAGUUUCUGCCUGCCAUGGGCAGAGAUUUCUCAGAGCCUUAGUCAUGUAAUAGGCGGUUUCCCUGGAGUGUUCUUGCCAAUGCUUAUUUAUGGAGUAUUUCUGGAGAGUUCCUACAAGCAAAUGGCAGUUUCUCACCGUUCCCCUGACCUGCCCAUAGCAGUUAUCUCUGGCUUCAUGGAAUGGUGGGAUGCUUUAAGAGCUGCACGUGUCUGCAUUUUCAACAAUCUGGAAGUGCUUUUCUUCCACCCCAUCCCCUGGGACAUUUUUUAAAAAAUGUAUUGAAAUAUAAAUAUGCUCAUCUUUUCAUUUCUGGUCUGUACUGUCACCAAAUGCAUCUGAAGAGUCACCUUGUCCCCAACCCAGUUCUCUCUUCAUGUUUAUCCACUGCCAACUGAUGAAGUGAUGGAGAAGCCACUUCUCUCCUUGAAACCCACUAGAUUCUCCAUCUCCACAGAAUAAACAAUAAACAAGGGCUGUUGAAAGCAGGUUAAAAGGAUGCUAGCCUCACAAGCCUGAUGACUCCAGUUCGGUCCUCAGAUGUGGGGCCAUCUCCUAGAGCAUGAGCCACAGUCUUCCCGGACAAGACAUAGCCAUUGCAUGAACUCACAGCAGCUGUGCUUGCAGUAAAGAGUUUGAGGAAGAAGCAGCUGAAGGUUCUGAAGCCCGCCUUCCACCUUCCACAAUCACUGAAAGAUGCCGAGAAUGAGCCUUAUGUGGAGAACCUGUCUGGCUGAGCGACAUGGAGCUAAGGCUCUUCUCUAGGGCAGAUGCAUUGCUGUGUCCUGACAGCCUGUGCUGCCCUCAGUUGAAGGUGUGGAUAAUUAAGGUAAUGAACACUUUUCCACUAGCUGCUGAAAGCCUCAUUAGUCUACACACAAGUUGCCACAGGCCAAUUGUGACGCCAAGGCUGGGAGGACCAACCAAAAUAACUUCAGAAAAAUUCAUUAAUCAGACUAAUCAAGCAGGUUGUUCCGAACGGAGAGUUCUUUUCCUCCAGUGGUCAGAGGAUUAGACAUGAAAGGGAUGUCUUAAGCAAUGUUUGGGAACAUCUAGGUUGUUUUACUGGCAUUAAAGUGGCUGAUGCUAAUGGAUUCCGUCCAAUGCAUCAGCAUGGAUGAUUGUGCAGCUGAGUAUCUAAGGUGGAUGACCACGGUUUCUAAACACAGAGAAAGGGGGUAAAGUCACCAUGAGAUCACACAGACAAACACACCCAGGUAUUACAGAGACAGCCAGCAUCACUACAUACUCAUUUUUGUCUUGAUGCUUCACGAUUUUGCAGGUGCGGUGCCCUGGGGUCAGUUUGGACUUGUGACUAUUUGUGGGUAUGUCUCAUCUAGUCCUCCUCUUUUCUGUCUUGGCAGCCUUGGAGGACACUGUUCCACAUGACAGUACAGCAUGAUAGUUUUCUUCUCGACCUGCCCUGCACUGUAUGUGCACGGAGAAUAAAUCCGUAGAGAUUUCCUGACUAUUCUAGGUUCAGUUCUGUCACUGUGACAAAUACCCCACCCCCAGAAAGAAACACCUGGGAGGAAAAAGGGUUUAUUUUAGCUUAUAAUCCCAGGUUACAGUCCAUGGUUUUGGGGAUAUUAAGGCAAGAGCUCAAGCAACUAGUUACAUAACACGAACAGUUGGGAGCAAAGAGAGAAUGAUUACAUUGUUCCUUUGCAUUGCUCCAGUGCCUGUCUGCUCUUAGUUUUCUCCUCUCUUCUGUUGUUCAGGACCAUCUGCCUAGGGAGUGGUGCUGCCCACACUGGGCUGGGUCUUCCUACAUAAAUUAAUAAUCAAUACAAUCUCCCACAGGCCAACCUGAUGUCAAUAUUUUCCCAUUAGCAUUCUUCCCAGGUGAUUGUAGGUUGGGUCAAGUUGAUAGUUAAACUUAAUCAGCAUACUAGCUUGUCACUGCGGCAGAAGCUAGCCUAUCCUGAAAAUAAACCUGAUACUUAAGCCUAAGCACAUUUAUAUUUGAGUAUGGUGGUUAGGCAAGGUGUCUCAUGACAGCCUCAAGAGCAGAGUGCUUGAAUUUCCGCAUGGUUUUCCAUGGACAACUUGAGAUUGCUUCUGGGCAAGUUGGGGUCAUGGGUGAUGGAUGAUGAAAAUGUUACAUGGAUUCUAAGCCUGUACUUUAAAAGGGUUGAUUAGCAUAUCUGCUGAAGUUUAGCAGUAGAUGCUGAGAAAAUAAUCCUUGCCCUGUGUCAUUCUACACUUUAACAAUGGCUUGGUAGAUGACAGAGAUAUACCGGCGGGUGCCCUGGAGUAAUGAGAAACCGUCUUGACUGACAGAUUCAGACCACAGAUGAAUCCUGAAGGGCCAGAACACAAACUUAGAAUGACAAGAUGGGAGAUAAGUAUUCCAUAUGAAUGUGUGUUUAGCUGAACCACAGAACCACAGAGAGGAGUGAUGAGGUUCGAGAGCAUUGUGAAAAUUGGUCUAAGUACACCAGUGUUACUCAAGAAUAGAGUAGAAAGAUCAAUCCACAAAGGCAGAAAAUAAGGUUGGAAGGUGACUUGGCCUUUGAUUUCAGGCACUAAGGAUUCAUGCCACUAUCUGCAAGAGGGAGUAUGUGAUUUGAUGUGGCAUUUUUUAACCGUUCUUUACUUUUAUUUCCACUGCUAAUACCUAGUCUCUUCUUCUUUCCCUCUUUUAUUCCUUCCUUACUCUUUUUUCUCAGCUGAUUAAAGGAUGGCUGGAAGAGACAUGGUCAUUUGUUAAGCAUGAGGUAUAAGUACACGAACUGGCUCAUUUAAUCAUCAGGUAGAUUUAGCUCAUUUUACACAUGAAGAAACCAAGGUUCAGGAUAGGUUAUGAAGUUUACCCACUCACUCACUCCCUCACUCCUCUCUCUCUCUCUCUCUCUCUCUCUCUCUCUCUGUAUGUGAAAACGUCCCCAUGAAGGGAACCUUGUGGAGGAAAAUGAAUCUGAGGAAUAGAGACAUGCCAUGACUGGGCCUUACCUGAAGGUCAUUCCACAGUACCUACACAGUGCAACUAUGAAUCAGUGUGAACUGAGACUUGUAGACUAGCUCUCUGUAUCUUGGUAUCACUCUUGACAUCAUAGUCAGCACAAUUCCCAAGACGAAGCAUGAUA